rnacentral:rRNA from 1 species
AACGAACGCUGGCGGCAGGCCUAACACAUGCAAGUCGAACGCCCGUAGCAAUACGGGAGCGGCAGACGGGUGAGUAACGCGUGGGAACGUGCCCUUCGGUUCGGAAUAACUCAGGGAAACUUGAGCUAAUACCGGAUACGUCCGUAAGGAGAAAGAUUUAUCGCCGAAGGAUCGGCCCGCGUCGGAUUAGCUAGUUGGUGAGGUAACGGCCCACCAAGGCGACGAUCCGUAGCUGGUCUGAGAGGANGAUCAGCCACACUGGGACUGAGACACGGCCCAGACUCCUACGGGAGGCAGCAGUGGGAAUAUUGGACAAUGGGCGAAAGCCUGAUCCAGCCAUGCCGCGUGAGUGAAGAAGGCCUUAGGGUUGUAAAGCUCUUUCAGCGGGAAGAUAAUGACGGUACCCGCAGAAGAAGCCCCGGCUAACUUCGUGCCAGCCGCCGCCGUAAG